CAGUCUACAGAGCUCUCUGACAUUUCUCAUGACACUUGAAAGAAGGGCUUGAGGGAGUCUGGGUGUGGGGGUGCCCUCCUCAUCCUCUUUCUAUCCCUGGCUCAGAGUCGGAGCUGCAGAUUGCCCUCAUUGCCCUCUUCUCUGAGAUGCUCUAUCGGUUCCCCAACAUGGUGGUGGCGCAGGUGACCCGGGAGAGUGUGCAGCAGGCAAUCGCCAGUGGCAUCACAGCCCAGCAGAUAAUCCAUUUCCUAAGGACAAGAGCCCACCCAGUGAUGCUCAAACAGACACCUGUGCUGCCCCCCACCAUCACCGACCAGAUCCGGCUCUGGGAGCUGGAAAGGGACAGACUCCGGUUCACUGAGGGUGUCCUGUAUAACCAGUUCCUGUCGCAAGUGGACUUUGAGCUGCUGCUGGCCCACGCGCGGGAGCUGGGCGUGCUCGUGUUCGAGAACUCGGCCAAGCGGCUCAUGGUGGUGACCCCGGCCGGGCACAGCGACGUCAAGCGCUUUUGGAAGCGGCAGAAACACAGCUCCUGAGAGCGCGGGACUUGGACACGGACCUCGGCGGGCGGGACUGGGCGGGGCGGGGCAUCAGAACGCAGGUGUUUUUUAUUGACGCGUCAGGGCUUUUCUUGUCUAAUAAAGUUAUGAUAGCUAGCA
rnacentral:sRNA from 1 species